rnacentral:lncRNA from 11 species
CAAAUCAUGUCCAACCUGGAGAAAGAAGAACUCUCCAAUGCAAUUAUCCUCUAUCUUAGAAGUCUUGGGAUUCAUGUCCAGCCUUGGAAGAUCAGCUCUAGCGAGGAGAAUCACACGGUGCCUUGUGUAGCUGGUGGUCUGUUUGGUGUCCCACUGCACACACUGCCCAUUUCAAAGCAGGUAGCCGGUGUGCCACAGUUCCUUGCUGAUGCUUGUGAGUUGCUCCGGCCACACCUUCACGUUGAAGGACUUUUCCGGAAAUGUGGAUCAACGACACGCAUCAAGGCUUUAAAGGUAUUGUCCCCAAGUCUCUCUUGGGAAAAGUGCAAGCUGCAUUUUCUGACCUGGAUGGAAAGAGACAGCCUUCAUCUGAAUCUGAAGGACAGAAAGAGAGCGAAGGGGAAGUAAGGCGGAGGCGGCGGAGGCACAGUGUGAGCAACUUUGUAACUGAGACCCUGAGCAAAUUCAAGACAAGCCGAUCUCUUUAUGCUGCUCCUUGCCAAGAGAUUAAAACAGGCUCCUCGACUGACAGUACUCUGAGAAUGUCUUUUAAUUCCAAGCGGAAAGCUUCUGAAGAUGUUGCCUGGGCUGCUGAACUUUCAGUCAAGAAGAGGAGAUCGGGCUUGGAUUCACUCAGCUUUGAUACCUUUGUGGAUGAUGCCGGGGACCCAUGUAUUCAACCAAUGUAUUGGGGUUCUGUGCAAGGAAAAGAGGCACUCAGCCCACCAAGCUCAACUGUACAAAUUCAAAGAAAACGGAGCGGCAGCAAGAAAAAACACACUCAGAGAAAACAUCCUGUUCAGACUUCCCCUAGCUCCUCCCCAACCUCUUUUGAGCGAAAGGACACAGGACGCAAAUCCUUACGCAUCUUCUCCCGCCAGAGUAAAGAUCUGGCAGGAGAACCAAGCAGCUGGCUUCUGGUGAAGAAGAUGGUCCCAGAGACUAUUGAAAGUCCCACGUCCCAAGAGAAAUGGGCCCAGCUGCAGUCAUACAGGCUCAGAGAAAGUGCAACAGCUCCACCACAUAUGAAAAUAGGAGCCUACUUGAUCCUUACACUUCCAGCAUCUGUUACUGGCUUUCCAAGACAGUUGGCCAAAGGAAGCAAUUGCCCCGCUAUCUCUAUAAAACCGGAGACUCCACCUGUUGCUGUGAAAUGCAAAAACUGUAAGGUGCCAAGCCCAGGCGUUGAUUAUGUCAUGUCUGGAUGCCAAGAGAUGGGUUUGGAUGACGGGUUUGAAAAAAGAGGGGUAUUGGACAAGGCUGGCUAUUUGGUAAGGAAGACCCAGCCGUUGGCUCCUCCAGCCAAGCAAGACAAACCUAUCCGUCGAUCGAUAAGUUGGUCUGAAGGUCUGUCAAUGAACAUUCCCACCGAAGAAACAGAUUUCUCUCCAGACGAAAUUCCUCUGAAACCUGGACAACAUGAAGCCUUCCCAUUUGACCUACCCGACGCAGCUCAACUCGAUAUGGAAGUCUUAGUGGCUGGCGUGAGGCAGCUGGGCAUCUCUGCUGUGUGUGUAACACCGGUGGAGAGCUGUGAUCCUGGCUGCCCAGAGAAUGGGCCUCGCGAUCCACUUACCUCCACACCAAACCUGUGUGAUAGCCGUAUCCCUCUUGCUGAAGGCCUCUGCCAAAUCAAAGAGGUGCCCAAAAGCCGGCUCAAGUGCCUGACCCUCAAUUUUCAAGCCAGUGAGACAUCCAAAGUUCCCAAACGUAAAGGUGGGCGCCGAUUUGGUCGCUCGAUUAGCCAUGAAAGUGGCUUGCCCUUGCAGGCUGAACAAGAGGCACCCACAGGGCAGAGUGGCCAUGCCAAGAAGGGGGCCUCUGUUCAGUCUCCCAGAAGCCCCUUGCAGUCCUUCAAGGCUUAUGGGAGGCAAAUUUUUAUAAGCCGCAAACAUAUCAUGAUGUCUUUUGCUGGGCUUCGAGGCAAAAAGGAGGCGCCAUGCCCCCGGGGCACUGAAGGGCCAACUGUGGCCACACCAGAACUAUAACUAGGAAUAUCUGUGAGAAGGAAAACAAUCAAAGAUAAAUAAAAUAAGAUUGUAAUAAUGGUCUCCCAGACUCUGCCCUUGGGUGAUCGUUGUCAAUAAUUUAAAAAACCAGAUGUGUAGGAAAACCUGCCCCAAUGUACUCAGCCUUUUUGCCUGCUGGGAGUAGAGUUCUAUUUCUGGCUGCUAUUACAGGUGGAACAUUUAAUUUGCACAGUCCAACUUCAUUGCAUUUCUUUGUAGCUUUUUGGCACAAUUUCAAGUAGCUCAAAUUUAUAAGGGGGUUAGGUUUCUGGAAAGAAAAGUGCUGGUAACAGCUAUUCUGUCCCUUAAGAUGAGACUGAUGUUGGUUUUGGUCUCCUAGCCUUCGCAUAGUCCAUUCUGUUGCCCUUAAAUCCACCUUAAGUCCAUCCUCUCUUUUUCCUGCCAUUUCACCUUGUGCUCGUGCACAACAUCAGUGUCUUCUAGCAAACCAUAUUUUGAUUAUAGAUGUUUAAAAAUGAUGUGUUUAGUCAUCCUUCUGUCAUCCUGCCCUCCAUCCAAAUAAGCUACCUCUAGUGGCCUUGAAUGACCAGGCCUGUGUAUUUUUGUUUUGAAAUAUUUGAAUUAUUGUCCUCAAUAUUAUUAUUUUGCCAUUGGGUAUAUGAUUUACAGCCAGCAGAGCCUGAAGAUGAGAACAUGUUUGGCUUCUCAAACCUGUUUUGGACUUGAGGUUUAUAGCAAAAGUAAAAGGGAAUAUAGUUUGGCUAUCAACUGCUGUGACAUGUAUUCUACCCCAAAUUACGGUGGUCACGAAAGGGAUACUAAGACACAAAUAUAAAUUGAUAUAUUAUGCAUAUGACAGAAUAAUUUUUCUCAAACUUGGUGUUCUCUAUAUGUGUUGCACCACAAUGAAUGCAAGCUAUUGUCCAAUAAAACUGAUGGACACCAGCAGGUGGGAAAAAAUGGAUCAUUCCUGUUUUGUCUGGAUGAUGUUUGUAUGCACCUCAUUUCUUCAAUCCUCCUUUAGAAAGAUGUCAAGUGCCCUGUCGUUUCUAAUAUACCCCAUAAUGAUUUUAUAAUGAUUGUUGUGUUUGCCUCUCAUGUGCCUUUUCUUAAUCUUAUCACAAAAUAAUUAAAAGCAAGAAAUAUCAAGUGAUUGGUCUUCUCUUAAACAACAGAUCACAGAACAUACA